rnacentral:rRNA from 1 species
UAAAGGGACUGCCGGUGUUAAACCGGAGGAAGGUGGGGAUGACGUCAAGUCCUCAUGGCCUUUAUGACCAGGGCUACACACGUACUACAAUGGCCGAUACAAAGGGCAGCGACACUGCGAGGUGAAGCCAACUCCCGUAAAAUCGGUCUCAGUCCGGAUUGGAGUCUGCAACUCGACUCCAUGAAGUUGGAAUCGCUAGUAAUCGUGGAUCAGCAUGCCACGGUGAAUACGUUCCCGGGCCUU